GCCGCCGCUCGAGGGUUUCGGCUUGGCUGCGCUUGACGCAGNGNNNNNUNGCGUCCCUCCAUUCNUGUCUUCCACGUCCUUGNCNGCAAAUGACGGGUGUUCNUGACCGAACCGCCGGGGGCCUGUCCCCUAGUGUAUGCCCGUCAGUAGCUCAUCAAAAUUCUGAUCAACGUGUCUGUCUUAGUCUAGAAGAAUAACUAUAAAACUUUCAACAACGGAUCUCUUGGUUCUGGCAUCGAUGAAGAACGCAGCGAAAUGCGAUAAGUAAUGCGAAUUGCAGAAUUCCGUGAGUCAUCGAAUCUUUGAACGCACAUUGCGCCCUCUGGUAUUCCGGAGGGCAUGCCUGUCCGAGCGUCAUUAGUCCAUCUCAAGCCCGGCUUGUCGUUGGGUCUCACCGCCCCAAGGCGGUGGGCCCGAAAUUUAAUGACGGGGUCCGACGCCCGUGGAUGCAGCGAGCUUUACAGCACGUGUCCCGACGUCGUCGCGGCCUUGUCUUCAACCUCAUUUUCUCUAGGUUGACCUCGGAUCAGACAGGACUACCCGCUGAACUUAAGCAUAUCAAUAAGCGGAGGAGAAGAAACCAACAGGGAUUGCCUCAGUAACGGCGAGUGAAGCGGCAACAGCUCAAAUUUGAAAUCUGGUUCCUUUACGGGCCCGAGUUGUAAUUUGUAGAGGAUGCUUCGGGCAAGGAUACAGCCUAAUUUGCUUGGAACAGCAGG
rnacentral:rRNA from 1 species